AGGAUAAUACUGAGGAUAACUGGGAAAGAGAUAAUCAGAGAGACAAACAUUCCACACUGGCACAGGAAACUGGUGAGCAUACAAGCCAAAAGGAUUUGAGGAUGGAGCCCUUCACAUUAGCACAGUGAAACGGUGAAGAUGCCUGUGAAAGACAAGAACUCAGAGCACAGCCUUUUGGCCUAUCACAAGAUAAUAGUGAGGAUAACUGGGAAAGAGAUAAUCAGAGAGAGGAUCCUUCCACACUGGUACAGGAAACUGGUGAGCAUACCAGCCAAACAGAGGAUCUGAGGAUGGAGCCCUUCACACUGGCACAGGGAAACGGUGAAGAUGCCUGUGAAAGACAACUCAGAGAGCAGAGAGGAGAGCCUUUCACACUAACACAGGAUAUCUUCUCCCAUGGAUUGACAGAAGAGCAGAGCUUCAUCUCCAUUCUGUCCUUUGCCCUCAAACACAACACAACCAGUGUUCUAAUGGCUGACCUGCUCAAACUUUUGAAACUGGUU